rnacentral:lncRNA from 1 species
CAAAGGAAAUCAACUCGCCACUCAAUGGAAAUCCACCAAAGAGAUAAGAGAAGAAAGUGUAUAAGCUGUUAUUUAUAUAAAUUAUUUUCAACUCCAAAAUUCAACUGCUCAAUACAAUGAGGGAGGAAGUAUAUAUAAGUCAAUCAAAGAAUGAAAAUUAAGAGUCAUUCACGAACGGCAUUAAUGACAGUUUCUUGAACUACCA